AUGUCAGAAUGUCUCGGGGUUUGUACCAGGCCAGCUGCACCAACCACCUCCUACUCCCAUGCCACUGUAGUGCUCUCACCCUCAAAUUGGUGGUUCCUGCCCUGGGGGAGGUCUCCUCUGCGGGCCUGCACCAGGAGACAGAAAAUGCAGCAUAAACCCCAAUUGUCUGUGUGCAUGGUCAUGGGUCUUGCUUGGGUCUACAGGAUGUUAACAGAUGUGACAAGGACAGAGACCUUAACCCUGCAGAUAUUAGAGGUGGGUCUUCCUGCUCCCCACCACACCUUCAUGAAACUGACCCAAGCAGGCACAGCCCCUUCUGAUGGGCCCCAAGAUGAAGACACAAGGCAAGCCAGACCAGGUCUGCUAAGCCCCAGCACGUCUGCGGCUCCAGAGCGUGACAGAAACAGUUUAUUGCUUUCAGUCUCUAAGAUGUUAAGGGUUUUUCCUAGGAAACAGCAACUGGCUCAUACAUAAUUUAUUCCAUUUGCCGCUGUACACCUUCUCCACUCUUUUCCUGAAUGAACUCUUUACUGCCCCCAUGACCAUCUACAUCCCAUAAGUAAUUAAGCUGGUGGUUGUAAAGAAACAGAAGCUUUGAAAGUUUGCUUUUGACAAAUCCUCAAAGCAGCCCAUAUAUCAGAGAUCCAGGACAGCACUUAACUCUUCCCAGAUAUGAAUAAGCAAUCCAGGAGGUCUGUGGGGGCAUAGUAUGCUGGUCCUCUGCACUGCCCAGGUCCUGGCUCCCAACUGUAAGUUAACAGCACCUCAGUGAGAAAAGGGGAAGAUCGCAGUUCACCCUUUAAAACAGCACCCUAACCCUAAAGUCACAUGCUAAAGAGACACAAUGGAUAAUGCAAAUAACCACUGAACGGCUGUUCCUUUAGAAAGCAAAACAGAAUAAUCACAGAGGCUGGAGUCCACUUUUAGCUUUUAUAAUCUGACGCACAAGAGAAACAACACAUGUAGGAGUGGAGACUCCCAGGUUGGCUGCCCUAUUUCUGUUAGAUUAUUUCUCAGAUAUUUAGAAUUUUCUUCUUCUUAUUAUUAUUAUUAUUAUACUUUAAGUUCUAGGGUACAUGUGCACAAUGUGCAGGUUUGUUACAUAUGUAUACACAUGCCAUGUUGGUUUGCUGCACCCAUUAACUCAUCAUUUACACUAGGUAUUUCUCCUAAUGCUAUCCCUCCCCUAUUCCCCACCCCACAAUAGGCCCAGGUGUAUGAUGUUCCUCACCCUGUGUCCAAGUGUUCUCAUUGUUCAAUUCCCACCUAUGAGUGAGAACAUGUGGUGUUUGGUUUUCUGUCCUCUAAUAUCUGCCAGCAGCUGAGCUCUUGGGUGGGGGGCAGGUGAAGUGGCGUUCUUUAUAGCCCCACCCGACCCUGGGUCCCCUUCUUUCUGUGUGCUGGCAGCAUUGUGGGGACACUGUGAGAGCAGUUCUUGUUCCAUUAUUUCCCCGCCUCAGGAAGGGGAUCCCUAUGCUGCUAACUCCAGCACCUGAGAACACAUGUCUCUCAUCUACCGCUGCCUUCAUCCCCAAGCUCUGUGGGUAUGCAACCUGUCCUUCUGGGGCACUUGGUCUCCCUUGCUUCUUGGCCUGAGCUGGCCAGCUCUACAUGGUCUCCUGAGCAGCCCAUGGAGGAAGGUGUUUUUUGCUGAGCCCUGACAGUGUCAUUGAACAUUGGAGGGACCUGGGUCUUCACAUGUCCUGGGCUGCUUGUUUCCAUCAGACUCAUAACACCUGUUGUCUUGGGGCCAACCAAACCCUACUGCCCACAUCUAAGGUCAGUUUUGUUAGUGUGAUCCAUGCAUAGGUUCAGGUUUAGCUCUUCAAAACCAUCUGGCCUCUGUUGACCCAUUGAGUCAGAGUCAGGGUGAAGAAUUAAGAUGAAGACAGUUCCACUGACUCGCGGAAUGUUUGAGUUUAUUGACUAACAGCAACAUUUUUGUGUGAGCGUGAAAGGAAGUGGAGUGUGUGGACACAGGGUAUCCUGAGACAACUCUAAAUUGUCUCCUUCUCUACCAAGGCUAUGUUAGCCUUGGGCACACCAGGAUGGACACAGACAUAUAUAAAAGGGCUUCAUGCAGUGUAGCUUGCCCUUCCACUUUCUGCCACAUGAGGACACAGCAGGGAGGCCCUCACAAGAUGCUGGCACCUUGGUCCUGGGCUUCCCAGCCUCUAGAGCUGUGAAAAAUAAGUGUCUGUUUCCUGUAAAUUACCCAGCCUGUGUUGUUCUGUAAUAGCAGCAUAAACAGAAGAGGACAGUUCCUUUCCUGGGCUCAGCAGGGGCCAGGGAAGAACCAGAACUCCAACUCACAGGAGGUAUAUGGACAUGAGGGACUCUGGGUCUUGGGACCUGAAGUGGAGAUUUGGAGUGAGUGGGAGUUGUCCUGAGACUACAUACAGGGCCAGGACUGACAGCUGGGAUGUUUCCUUGUGUAUGUAUCCUGGCAGUUCCCUGCCCUCCCCAGGCUCCACCCCAUCUUCCCUCCCUCUGUCUCAAGGAGAGAGUUUUGGGGAGUCUGCAAAAACCUCCUCACAUUUUCCUUGUCACUUUGUGUUCAUUAUUAUGCUCAAUCUCCCCAGGGCUGUGUCCCAGCCCUGACCCCCUGGGAAAAAUGAAAAGUGUCCAGAUGUCCCCCAGCAGAUGGGAAAGUGGCCACAAUGCAGAAUAAAGCAGUGUAUAUGCAGCACAUUUUGGAACUAAUUUAUACUUAGUGUUUUAUUCUACUGCCGCUUGUGAUUUCAGCUGUAACCAUUUGAGGACAGCCAAGCAGAGGUUGCCAUCUUUAUAUAAUGACUCAGGGACAGCAGAUGAGAGAUUAGGAGCUGAGGGGUGCAGGGUUAAAUGAGAAUUCACAUUUCUGGGGAAGGAGGAAGCUAGUGACACUAAACUACAAUCUGUGCCCCUUUUCCUUCCUGGGGUUGGGGUCCAGGGAUGCUACUGACCAGAUGUUCCCAGCAUGUCUCUGGUCUCAGCCUCUGGCACAAAAUUUGCUCAGGGGCCCACCUCAUGGCUACACUCAACAUCUAUGAACCCAAUUUCCUGAUUCUUCACUGCACAGAUUCCUGAAGGAAGAAAAGUAUAGCUAUCUCCAGGAGCAAGUGCAGACAGGCAAGGCAAACUAGGAGAGUUCUUUCCAAAGGAACAGGGCCCGCAAUGUGAGACCUGUCCUAUAAUUAGGCCUGUGCACCCAAGUCAUGUCGUGCAUGAUACAGAGUCUGGAAAACCAAUAAAAAUCAACAUAUGUCCCAGAAAUUGUGGAUGUCCAUUUCUUGGGGAUGCAGAAAACUGUUAAAGACCCAUAUGUGUAGUCUGAGUCAGGCAGGAAUUAGUGCAUCCUCCCAGGGACCAGUGCCUUGGAGUGGGCUCCUCUCCCCUUGCUCCAUGAGGGACGGCUGUGCUCCCAGAGGGUCCUGAGGCAGGACCCCCCCCUCACCUCAGGGGGCUCACUCCCCAUGAGACCCUGUCCUGGGAGCUGCCUCAGAAUUGGUUCUUAAAUGGAAUGAGUGGGGUGGAUUGUUUGGAGGACACUUGUUGGAAUCACGGUGGAUAAAGCACCUCCUCUGAGCUUCCUUCUGCUGAUGGAGUCAGGGUCAGGAGAAGGACCAAGGGUGGGAGCAGACAGGAGAGGUGGUGGGAAGGUCUCAAAGGAAAAUCUGCUCAAGUCUGGAGCAAGGCAGGGCAGGGCUGUGUGGGUUCUAGAGACCCACCCACCAAAUGGGACUAAGUGCAGCAGCUGUGCCCACCUCAGUGCUGACAGACCGCAGGGCGGUCUCCGAGCCUGGCUCUCCCCUCUGCUUUGCCUGAACACCCACAGUCUAG
rnacentral:lncRNA from 1 species